GUGAGUCAUCGAAUCUUUGAACGCAUAUUGCGCCCUCUGGUAUUCCGGAGGGCAUGCCUGUCCGAGCGUCAUUGUUAACCCUCAAGCCUUGCUUGCUGUUGGACCCCUCGACGAAAAGUUGACGGCCCCAAAGAUAACGACGGUGUUGUGGUAACCCCCAGAUGCAAUGAGCUUUAACACGCACGCAUCACGGCGGUAUUAUAACCCCGUCUCUAAACAAUCAUUUUCAAGGUUGACCUCGGAUCAGGUAGGAAUACCCGCUGAACUUAAGCAUAUCAAUAAGCGGAGGA
rnacentral:misc_RNA from 1 species